rnacentral:rRNA from 1 species
UACAUGGGGUGCAAACGUUGCUCGGAAUUAUUGGGCGUAAAGCGCACGUAGGUGGUUUGUUAUGUCGGAUGUGAAAGCCCUCGGCUCAACUGAGGAAGUGCAUCCGAAACUGGCAAGCUAGAGUAUGUAAGAGGGUCGCGGAAUUCCCGGUGUAGAGGUGAAAUUCGUAGAUAUCGGGAGGAACACCAGUGGCGAAGGCGACUACCUGGCCUGUUCUUGACGCUGAGGCGCGAAAGCUAGGGGAGCAAACAGG